AUAAUAGGAACUAGGAACUAAUUAGGGCCGUUGGAUCUAACUUAGAUGCGCGCUUGAUGAGCGGCCCAGAUUAAUUCAGCACUUUUUGUCAUUUCUCUCUCCUCAAGUACAACGAACUUUCUAGAUACCUCCAUUGAAGCGAAUUUCGAGCUUUCUCUACUCCAUUGCAGUAGAUUUAGAGCUUUCUGUACUCCAUUGAAGCAGCUUUUGAGCUACUGAUCUGUAUUCUCCAUUAAAGGGAAUUUCGAGCUUUUGAUACUCCACUGAAGCAGCUUCUGAGCGGAAGCUAUGGACAGUAUAACUGCUUCAAGAAAGGCGGCUGCCAUGCAAAGAGCCGCAGUAAUUGGUAGUCCAAAGCCCUCCUCCGAUCCUUCCUCAAAGGAGUCGCCCCAAGUGAGUUCAAACUCUUUAAGCCUUUGUCUUCUUUAUAUUUGUGUUUAUUAACACUCGGCACCCAUUUUUUUGCAGGUGGGCGCUUCAAAACCCUCCUCCUCCCACCAACCGGACUCAACGGUUCGGAAACUGACAGGUGGGAGUACGCCUGGUUCGACCAGGAAACAGACGACUGACAAGCAGCCGAUCACCCCCAAUCUGGGGGAAAAACAAAUAAAGUCCAUGGUGAGAGUUGUCCCUCUUGAGGAGAGAGAUGCAGUCCGGGGAGUCGGUACCCUGAACCUUGAUGGUAUAAUGGGUCUCCUUUCUGAGGUACUCUUUGUAUUUGUCAUUGUUUAUUGGGACGCCUGCUUUUUGUCCUAAGUAUCUGACGCCUGUUUUCUUUUAUAGUCCCUGCUCCGAGUAAGCGGCCUUCACAAACCAAUCAGUGCGAAGAACAAAGAGGUAAAGGCUGCUAAAGCCAUGGCCGCCUCUGGCUGUGACAAGGCAAUGUUUCAAAUUGCCCAAAAUGAAAUUUUGACAACUGAUAUUCUUUAUUAUCAGGCACAGGCCACUGCGGAGGUCUACACUGAGUUGGAGGCGGCCCAGAAGAAAAAUACGGAGCUGGAGACCACCAUCAAAACCCUCCGAGAGCAGCUGGAGCCUCUCAAACAUACUGCGCAUCUCAAUGAAUCUUUGCUGAAAUCAAUAGAGAAUCUUAAAAGCCAGUUGAAGAUCCAGGAGGCGGCCCUCACCAAAGAGCUGACGGCCAAGGCUAAAACUGAAAAGAUGGAUUUGGUUAGGUCUAUGAUGGAGGACCUGGUCAAAAUCAAGAAAAUGACCUAGUCCCGCCUCUUCCCAAAAGCCAAUUACGCCUCAUGGGAGAAGAAGUUCAAAGCUUGUACUGAAGAGUAGAAUCGAAGAAUUAUGGAGGCGGUGGCUGUGGCGGAUGAGGCGCAGGCGGUCAGCGAGGAGGAAGGGGAGGUGGUCGCCAUUGACCCAUUGGAGGUGGAAGUAAACAAGGAUUCGGCCCUUGAAGGAAAAUAAACUAAGAAGGGUGCUGCGAAGGACCAAGCGCCCACAGUUGAUGUCGAUCAGGCGGCCUUGAAUACCGAUGCCCCUCUAAAUGCUUAAGCUUUUAUUUUUUUAACUUUUUCUUCGGCCUGCAUGCCGUUUAUUUUUCACUUUACCCGGCCAGGGGGCCGGAGUCUUGAAUAUUUUUCCGGUCUUUAAGACCGACUGUUUAUAUGAAUUCGGCGACCAUCUUUUUGGUCGUCUUUGCUUGUCCAGGCUUCGAAUUUUGCUUUAUUUUUUCGAAUUUUUGCUAAGUGUCGAAGUAUCAAGGAUCUUUGAUAUCCGCUUGCGUAUCAUACCGACUGUUUUGUAUGGCCGAUAGUUGCGAAUAGGUAAAAUGUGAGGGCUGCCUAUGCCCCUGGACGACUAGUUGUCUUAGUUCUAAGUUAGGCGAUCAAUCGGCCAUCUAUCCAGUCGGACCCCAACAUAUUUUGGAGAAUACAUUAGGUUUGCUUUACUUGUGAAAGGAAAGUAGAUAAAUUUCUUGAGUCCUUGCUUAUCCUAAAAAGCAGUCGACCUGUGAACCAACUUUUCAAACAUGUUUGGUUUGAAGAGAAAUCAUCUUAGCAGGUUGGGGUACGAGAGCUUUAGUCCACCUCUAAGAAGGCGGACUUGUCAUACCUUUUGAAUCCUGGCUAAGUAUGGGCGUGAUUAUGGGUAAUCUUGAAGGUUACUCUCUCGUCAUGUCUAAGCUUGAGUAGUAGAGGUACCAAGCGGCGUAGGCCGGCUAGUCCCCUUGAUUCACCAAUUUUGUUGGUUAUUUACUCAAGUUUUAGGGAGUGACUAUAAGUUAACAUUGAUGUUACUUAGUCGCCAUCACUUCUGUUUGAGUAGUCGAGGUACCAGGCGGCGGAGGCCGGCUGGACCCCUUGAUUCGCCAAUGUUUGUUGGCUAUUAAGUGAAAAGGAACCGGCUGUACUUAUCCCAAGUAAUACAGUCGGUUAUCUGACGCGGAUGUUAACUGCUAACACUCGUUGGAUCAGUGAUAGAGUUAUCAUUGUCUCAAAAACAGCUGCGUGGUUGUCUUUGUUGACAGUCACAUAG